GAUGAACGCUAGCGGCAGGCCUAAUACAUGCAAGUCGAACGGUAAGUAGUGUGCUUGCACAUUACACGAGUGGCGCACGGGUGCGUAACGCGUAUGCAACCUACCCUUUACUGGGGGAUAGCCCGGAGAAAUUCGGAUUAAUACCCCAUGGUAUUAUCAGAUGGCAUCUGAAGAUAAUUAAAGAUUUAUUGGUAAAGGAUGGGCAUGCGUGACAUUAGUUAGUUGGUGAGGUAACGGCUCACCAAGACGAUGAUGUCUAGGGGUUCUGAGAGGAUGAUCCCCCACACUGGUACUGAGAUACGGACCAG
rnacentral:rRNA from 1 species